UACGUAGGGUGCGAGCGUUAAUCGGAAUUACUGGGCGUAAAGCGUGCGCAGGCGGUUUUGUAAGCCAGAUGUGAAAGCCCCGGGCUCAACCUGGGAAUGGCAAUGGAAACUGGCGGGCUGGAGUAUGGCAGAGGGGGGUGGAAUUCCGCGUGUAGCAGUGAAAUGCGUAGAGAUGCGGAGGAACACCGAUGGCGAAGGCAGCCCCCUGGGCUGACACUGACGCUCAGGCACGAAAGCGUGGGGAGCAAACAGG
rnacentral:rRNA from 1 species